GAUGAACGCUGGCGGCGUGCUUAACACAUGCAAGUCGAACGGUGAAGCAGUAGCUUGCUCCUGUGGAUCAGUGGCGAACGGGCGAGUAACACGUGAGCAAUCUGCCCUGGACUCUGGGAUAAGCGUUGGAAACGACGUCUAAUAACGGAUACGAGGCGUGGGGGCUUCCCCAACGCCUGGAAAGAACUUCGGUCCAGGAUGAGCUCGCGGCCUAUCAGGUAGUUGGUGAGGUAACGGCUCACCAAGCCUACGACGGGUAGCCGGUCUGAGAGGGUGACCGGCCACACUGGGACUGAGACACGGCCCAGACUCCUACGGGAGGCAGCAGGGGGGAAUAUUGCACAAUGGGCGCAAUCCUGAUGCAGCAACGCCGCGUGAUGGACGACGGCCUUCGGGUUGUAAACCUCUUUUAGCAGGGAAGAAGCGAAAGGGACGGUACCUGCAGAAAAAGCACCGGCUAACUACGUGCCAGCCGCCGCCGUAAGAC
rnacentral:rRNA from 1 species